CAGGCGCGGUGAGAUCACCGCGCCCCGGACGAGGUGCGUCGUACCCGGUCAGCGACAAGACGACGCGUU
rnacentral:ncRNA from 1 species